rnacentral:tRNA from 1 species
GCCGGGGUGGCGGAACUGGGAGACGCGCAAGCUUCAGGAGCUUGUGGAGGAAACUCCAUGUGGGUUCGAGUCCCACCCCCGGCACUA